CAGGGAGCCCGGGCUUGGAGAGCCCGCGAGGGGCUUGACGCUGCGACCCCACUACCCCGGCGGGGCCGGCGGAGCGUGGGCGCCCUCCAGGGCGUCGCGAGGCGGUUCUAGGAGGCCGGGGAGGCCGCGCUGGGCUCCUGGAGGGUGGCGAGCAGCCCUGCUGCCCAGUCUGCGCCCGGAGCGCCACUCGCUCCAGCGGAGCCGGGCUUUGUGCCGUCCUUUGGGUUCAUUCCAGAUAGUUCUGGGCCAGUGAUCAAAACAAAAGGCUGGAUUUUGUUUUUCAGAACACAGGACCGCAGUGACUGCACGGCCGUGGAAAGGAAAAAUCCAGAAAGCAGGAGGGUGUUAGGAGGCCUGAGUCUUCCAAGGGUGCCCCAUGGGGCAGCGGCUGUCCUACCCUGUAGAGGUAGUUUCGCAGGAGUGAAUCACCGGCAGCACCAAGGGCCAGCUCCAGAGCCCGCCAAUCCUGAGCACAAGAGGAAAAUAUAUCCACACCAUAUCUUGAGCUAUUUGAACACAAAACCCGUUGAGAGACUCAAAAUUCUACUCUGUGAUUUAUCCAAGUCCUGGUUAUCCAGAGCUAAGUUUGCAGGUAAGAUGAAUUGAGCAUUCAUUAUUCCCAGAUGAAUAAAUUUAAAUAUAUCUAUAUCUAUAUAAAGAUAUAGAUAUAUCACAAGUACUGUAUCUUAAAAUGUGUCUGCAAGAGCAUCUGAAGUUUUGUUUAUAUAUGUACCUUGAUAAUUCAUAAAGCUGGAGUCUAUAAUUCAGAGAAACCCAUUUGUUCUGUUUUUUAAAGUCAAAAAUUAAUGUCUUUUAAAAAGACAUUUUCAAAUUUAAACAUCAAAAUGUAUGUGAAAGUACAAAAAAAAAAAAAAACCCAAAACAAAACAAAACUAUUUUGAAUACCCUACAUACCAGGGAACACUUAUUUUGCUUGCUAUUUUUUCAUUGAACUUUCGAUGACUUUGGUCAAACUUCAUACUGCAGCAACUGUAUGUAUAAAUAAAAACAGAAAAUAAUGGGUGUUGAUGAGAGUGUGGAGAAAUUGGCAGCUGUCUGCCCUAUUGGUGAGAAUGUCAAACAUUGUAGUUGCUAC
rnacentral:lncRNA from 1 species